rnacentral:rRNA from 1 species
UACGUAGGGCGCAAGCGUUAUCCGGAAUUAUUGGGCGUAAAGAGCUCGCAGGCGGUUUGUCGCGUCUGCUGUGAAAGACCGGGGCUCAACUCCGGUUCUGCAGUGGGUACGGGCAGACUAGAGUGAUGUAGGGGAGACUGGAAUUCCUGGUGUAGCGGUGAAAUGCGCAGAUAUCAGGAGGAACACCGAUGGCGAAGGCAGGUCUCUGGGCAUUAACUGACGCUGAGGAGCGAAAGCAUGGGGAGCGAACAGG